GAUGAACGCUGGCGGUGUGCCUAACACAUGCAAGUCGAGCGAACGCACGAGAAGCUCGUUUCCCUGAGGGUAGCGGGGGACGGGCGAGUAAGACAUGCAUAACCUUCUUAUUUUACUUGGAUAAUAUCGGGGGGACAGUGCCACUAAUGGCUCAUAUUAUCAACGGCAUGGAUCAAAAGUGAUUGACGGUCUUGCUGUCUCUAAUAGAUGAAUCCGCGCUGCAUUAGCUAGUUGGUAAGGUAACGGCUCACCAAGGCAACGAUGCAUAGCCGACCUGAGAGGGUGAUCAGCCACACUGGAACUGAGACACGGUCCAGACUCCUACGGGAGGCAGCAGUGGGGAAUCUUCGACAAUGGGCGAAAGCCUGACCGAGCAACGCCGCGUGAGUGAUGAAGGUCUUCGGGUCGUAAAACUCUGUUAUUGGGAAAGAACAGAAGUAUAAGAAACUGUGCACGUCUUGACGGUACCUAAUGAGAAAGCACCGGCUAACUACGUG
rnacentral:rRNA from 1 species